UUUAUGGAGAGUUUGAUCCUGGCUCAGGAUGAACGCUGGCGGCGUGCCUAAUACAUGCAAGUCGAGCGAACAGAUGAGAAGCUUGCUUCUCUGAUGUUAGCGGCGGACGGGUGAGUAACACGUGGAUAACCUACCUAUAAGACUGGGAUAACUUCGGGAAACCGGAGCUAAUACCGGAUA
rnacentral:rRNA from 1 species